rnacentral:rRNA from 1 species
CACGUAGGGUGCGAGCGUUGUCCGGAAUUAUUGGGCGUAAAGGGCUCGUAGGCGGUCUGUCGCGUCGGUAGUGAAAACUCAGGGCUUAACCCUGAGCCUGCUUCCGAUACGGGCAGACUAGAGGUAUGCAGGGGAGAAUGGAAUUCCUGGUGUAGCGGUGAAAUGCGCAGAUAUCAGGAGGAACACCGGUGGCGAAGGCGGUUCUCUGGGCAUUACCUGACGCUGAGGAGCGAAAGUGUGGGGAGCGAACAGG